UACGGAGGGUGCAAACGUUGCUCGGAAUCAUUGGGCGUAAAGCGCACGUAGGCGGCUCGUUAAGUCGGAUGUGAAAGCCCUGGGCUCAACCCAGGAAGUGCAUACGAAACUGGCGAGCUUGAGUAUGGAAGAGGGUCGCGGAAUUCCCGGUGUAGAGGUGAAAUUCGUAGAUAUCGGGAGGAACACCAGUGGCGAAGGCGGCGACCUGGGCCAAUACUGACGCUGAGGUGCGAAAGCGUGGGGGAGCAAACAGG
rnacentral:rRNA from 1 species